CGAGCGGAUGAGAGGAAGCUUGCUCCUCGAUUCAGCGGCGGACGGGUGAGUAAUGCCUAGGAAUCUGCCUAGUAGUGGGGGACAACGUUUCGAAAGGAACGCUAAUACCGCAUACGUCCUACGGGAGAAAGUGGGGGAUCUUCGGACCUCACGCUAUUAGAUGAGCCUAGGUCGGAUUAGCUAGUUGGUAGGGUAAAGGCCUACCAAGGCGACGAUCCGUAACUGGUCUGAGAGGAUGAUCAGUCACACUGGAACUGAGACACGGUCCAGACUCCUACGGGAGGCAGCAGUGGGGAAUAUUGGACAAUGGGCGAAAGCCUGAUCCAGCCAUGCCGCGUGUGUGAAGAAGGCCCUCGGGUCGUAAAGCACUUUAAGUUGGGAGGAAGGGCUCAUAGCGAAUACCUGUGAGUUUUGACGUUACCAACAGAAUAAGCACCGGCUAACUUCGUGCCAGCAGCCGCGGUAAUACGAAGGGUGCAAGCGUUAAUCGGAAUUACUGGGCGUAAAGCGCGCGUAGGUGGCUUGAUAAGUUGGAUGUGAAAUCCCCGGGCUCAACCUGGGAACUGCAUCCAAAACUGUCUGGCUAGAGUGCGGUAGAGGGUAGUGGAAUUUCCAGUGUAGCGGUGAAAUGCGUAGAUAUUGGAAGGAACACCAGUGGCGAAGGCGACUACCUGGACUGACACUGACACUGAGGUGCG
rnacentral:rRNA from 2 species